UUAUGCAUGCAAGUCGAGCGAAGCUUUUCAGUAGUUUACUACAGAAAAUGACUGAGCGGCGAACGGGUGAGUAACGCGUGAGCAAUCUACCUUAGUUACAGGGAUAGCCCGAGGAAACUCGGAUUAAUACCUGAUAUUCUUUACAUUUCGCAUGAAAUCAAAAGGAAAGGUCAGCCGAACUAAGAUGAGCUCGCGUUCUAUCAGCUAGUUGGUGAGGUAAAAGCUCACCAAGGCAACGACGGAUAGCUGGUCUGAGAGGACGAUCAGCCACACUGGGACUGAGACACGGCCCAGACUCCUACGGGAGGCUGCAGCAGGGAAUAUUGCGCAAUGAGCGAAAGCUUGACGCAGCGACACCGCGUGUGGGAUGACGGAUCUAGGUUUGUAAACCACUUUCAGGAGGGAAGAAAAUGACGGUACCUCCACAAGAAGCCCCGGCC
rnacentral:rRNA from 1 species